UAUCGAGUGCAGUCCUCUCACUCUAAAUUUGGACUCCUUAUUAAGGAAUUAAGGAGGUUUUAGCACAAAAAUAAAGAGAAAUAAGGAAAUUGUUA